UACGAAGGGGGCUAGCGUUGUUCGGAUUUACUGGGCGUAAAGCGCACGUAGGCGGAUCGAUCAGUCAGGGGUGAAAUCCCAGAGCUCAACUCCAGAACUGCCUUCGAUACUGGGAGUCUUGGAGUCCGGGAGAGGUGAGUGGAACUGCGAGUGUAGAGGUGAAAUUCGUAGAUAUUCGCAAGAACACCAGUGGCGAAGGCGGCUCACUGGCCCGGUACUGACGCUGAGGUGCGAAAGCGUGGGGAGCAAACAGG
rnacentral:rRNA from 1 species